ACUACGGGUGGCAGCAGUGGGGAAUAUUGCGCAAUGGGGGAAACCCUGACGCAGCAACGCCGCGUGCGGGAAGAAGGCCCUCGGGUCGUAAACCGCUUUCAGCAGGGAAGACCACGACGGUACCUGCAGAAGAAGCUCCGGCUAACUACGUGCCAGCAGCCGCGGUAAGACGGAGGGGGCGAGCGUUAUCCGGAUUCAUUGGGCGUAAAGCGCGCGUAGGCGGCCGCCUAAGCGGAACCUCUAACCCCGGGGCUCAACCUCGAGCCGGGUUUCGGACUGGUCGGCUCGAGUGCGGGAGAGGAGUGCGGAAUUCCCGGUGGAGCGGUGGAAUGCGCAGAUAUCGGGAAGAACACCGAUGGCGAAGGCAGCUCUCUGGGCCGUCACUGACGCUGAGGCGCGAAAGCUGGGGGAGCGAACAGGAUUAGAUACCCGAGUAGUC
rnacentral:rRNA from 1 species